rnacentral:rRNA from 1 species
AACGCGAAGAACCUUACCUGGGCUCGAAAUGUAGUGGAAUCCGGCAGAAACGUCGGCGUCUAGCAAUAGACCGCUAUAUAGGUGCUGCAUGGCUGUCGUCAGCUCGUGUCGUGAGAUGUUGGGUUAAGUCCCGCAACGAGCGCAACCCUCAUCUUCAGUUGCCACCAGGUAAGGCUGGGCACUCUGGAGAAACCGCCGGUGACAAGCCGGAGGAAGGCGGGGAUGACGUCAAGUCCUCAUGGCCCUUACAGGUUGGGCUACACACGUACUACAAUGGUGGUGACAGUGGGUUGCGAAGUCGCGAGACGGAGCCAAUCCCCAAAAGCCAUCUCAGUUCAGAUUGCACUCUGCAACUCGGGUGCAUGAAGUUGGAAUCGCUAGUAAUCGCAGAUCAGCACGCUGCGGUGAAUACGUUCCCGGGCCUUGUACACACCGAGACGAC